UACGUAGGUGGCAAGCGUUGUCCGGAUUUACUGGGCGUAAAGAGCGCGCAGGCGGUCGUUCAAGUCGCGUGUGAAAGCCCCCGGCUCAACUGGGGAGGGUCAUUCGAUACUGAUCGACUCGAAGGCAGGAGAGGGUAGCGGAAUUCCCGGUGUAGCAGUGAAAUGCGUAGAGAUCGUAAGGAAGACCAGUGGCGAAGGCGAGUUUCUGGACAGUUACUGACGCUGAGGCACGAAGGCCAGGGGAGCAAACGGG
rnacentral:rRNA from 1 species